GUAAUAAUGCAACAGUACGUCGUCGUGCACAACUCUGCUCGUUGGUGACUUAAUACAUUAGCGAAACAUGUCCCGUGGUUUUUUCAUUGUAAAUUAAGAAGAGACUUCAACAAAAUGGCGGAAGUGCAUCAAAUUAAAUUACGAAGAAGCCGCGUGUUUUCGCAAAAAUACUUUUGUUUAUAAUUAAACGAUGUGAUAAUUUAUAAUUUAAGUGUUGUAGUACUUUUUUUUUAAAAAAGGCACGUGAUAUACGUAAAUUAAGUAACGUAAAGUGUUCUUAUUUAUUUAAGUACGCUAUAAACUUAGUGCAAUAUUUUAAUGAAAUCGAAGGCGCGAGUGCUUAAAACAGUUGAGUUCUAACAAGUGGUUUUUGUUUAUAAAUUUAAAUUUGGAACAAAGUUGAGUUUAGCAAAUUUGAGUGCGCCUCCUCCGAUGUCAACUUGUUUAAAUUUGCAAGGGAAAAAAUUCGAAGCGCGAGAAAAGGCGCAACUUUAAAUAUUUUUAGUGUAAUGAAUGAUUUGAUUUGCAAUGGGCCGAAUUAUUUCUGUUUGUACUAUACAUAGCGUCGCGCACAGUGUAGCAAACUUAGCGCCUCGGAAAAAUGGCGGACUGCUCGUAUUCGCGAUGUAUCCAACAGAAGCGAUAUAUUAGAAGAGAGCUACAAAGAUGGACAAAAAAUAUGGUGUAUAUAGUGGGAAAAUCUGUUGGAAAAGCGGUUCGUUUCAAGGAUAAAUUUCCAAAUGCAUGUGUAACCUGUUGCAGAUUUCAAGGAUUUUCUCAAUUUUUUUCACUUAUGUGUACGUAAUUGUGCUAGUUUUUGUUCUGAAAAAUUCAUUUCACCAAUGCACUUUUUAGACGUCCAACUUUUUUUGCAUUUCUCCGGUUUCCUUUCUUCCGGGUGCAGUUAAUGAUUUUUUAAGAUGCACUUUUUUAAAUGCGUCGUAGUAGCAUUUUCGACUGACCGCGCCGAAUUCAACAACCUUUGUUGUUAAAUCGCUAAAUUGUCUAGAAAAUUCGUAUGGAAUCUUGCUGCAACGUGCUCCCCCGAUUUUCAAAUCGAGCGGCACGCGCGAUUAUUUUUUUCCCAUUCAAUUUGGGGCGUUUUCUACCGACGAUGUUUUCGUGAAGACGACGGGGUGAAAUGCAACACAUUUAAUUGGCCUCGAUUUCCUUUAAAUUCAACAAACAAAAAUUAUUGUCGAUUUAAUUACAAAUGGUAUCCUUUCAUUAAUUGCGGUUAUGCCCUAAUAUCGGAUAUUCAGGUCAAAUUAACCAUAUUACAUUUUUGCAAUUAAUACUUCCUCGCGCGAUUAAAAACGCGAUUUCGAAAAAGCUCGCAUCUAAAAGCGUGCGCCCCAAUUUAAGCGCGCAUUUUCCAAAACGGCUACAAAUUCUAGGUUUAGGUUAAACUGCAUUGUAAAUAAUCUAAUAUUAACAUAUAAAUGUCAAGCUAACCGUGAGCUAGAUUUGUGGUAGGGUAAAACUUCGCCUGUAGAGUGCAUCGCCGACUGCAAUUGCAUUUAAGACAUGCGCGGGUUUCAAUUCUGCUCUCCAGUUCGAAUAAGAGGCACACGUGUAAAAACCCCUCGCAAAAAUUUUCGGAAAUCUCAACCGUCCGUCGAAGAAGCGCCAUUUUCUCGACCCCGAAAAUCGCAAGAAUAGCGGAAUCUAGGUUGAAAAACUGCAGAAUGCAUCUAACGACAGUUAGAUUAAGUAGCGCACAUCUACAAAUUAACUGUUCAUACAAAAAUACCAUAAAUAGUAGUAAAAAUUUGUGACCGUUUUAUAUACCUACCAUUGUAACGUUGGUUCCUCAAUUACGUACAAAAAAUGAAAAACGAAUCAAUUGCGUAUUAGAUAAAACGCAGAGGUUCCGGAAAUGUUGAACUAUUAACUGCGGUUGUUAAUGGAGUGCGAACAAUCAUCGUUAUGAAAUUAAUGAAACGAAAAAGACGGAAUAAUAACAUAAUUAUUCAUCUUGAACUUGUUGCCUUUAUAGUUUACAUCACCAUUACAACUAAUGAUUUGGACUGGUUUACCAUCUUAAAUCAGAAACUUAUAACGGAUACAAUUUUAAUACUUUCAUGAACCUAGUAUUACUUCCCCUGUCAAUUAAAAUGUACCUAUGCUACUGCCAUGGUGGUAAAAAAUGAAGAAACAGCUUAUUCGCAUGAAAAAGAAGUUGAAUUCACCAUUCAGAAAUCGAAAAUAUUAAGCUGGUGGACACACGUCACUGUAUUGAAUUCAUUUCGCAAUUAAAAUAUAAUUGAAGUUAAGCUUAAAGCAACAAACGCAAUUAAAGCUCAAUUCACUACUUGCACACACGAGAAUUCAAUUCACAGUUAAAGUGAAUCCUUUUUAUUCUUCACUUCAUUUGUUGAAUUUAAUCCGUUUGAGCAAUUAAGCUUUGUAUUCGAAACAUGGUAUGAAGCCUCCAUCUCAAAAAGCUCCUAUAAGAAUUAAAUGACUUUCUCAUGUUCCCAAAUUUGUAAAAAUUACUUUUGAAACACAGCAGCUUUCGAUAAUUGAAGCCAUGUGCUAUUUCCUUGGUCUAUGAACCUCGAGCACCUAUUUCUAAACAUUGUUUUAUACAGUAUUUUAAAGGCAAUUUUAAAAGUGCUUCAAUUUUGUGAGAUGUUCUAGUUUAAACAGUGACUAUUCCAUAGCCAACUUAUCGGUAAGCUCUUUUGAGAUAGGCUUUUCUUCUUAGGUGCUAGCACUAAAAUCGUUCCAGUUUUGUAGAUCGCAUUAAAAAAACUACAUAUUUAUACCCUCCCUUAUGCCUACCUAUGUUUUAUUUUGUACAGAAAGUUGCACAACGUCGAAACUCGCCUCGAACUAGACUAUUAGAUAUUUAAUUGAAAUCAAAUGUACCUAAGUACCUAAUGUAAUUUAUGUCAAGUUUCACAUUUUGAAAAUGAUGAUAUGAAAACGUUACCCUCAGAACCAAAAUUGCUGUUGCUUUUGAAAUCUCAACUAAGCAGCUUUUCGGCUGGGUUACGUUAGCACCCCUAAAUCGGCACACCAGUUUGUUACAGCGCCAAAAUUUUGUGCUAAUUUGUGCACCAAUCCCCAAAUUGUUCCCACAAUCGCGCAAUCGCCUAAAACAAUCCCGCAAUCGUUGUGACAAUCACAUUGGCAAUCGUGCACGCCCUCACCUGUAUUUAGGUCACACGCUACGCGGGGUUAGGCAAAAAAGUUAUUGGACCUAACUUUAUUUUUUUUAAUAGAGCGCCCUGUAUUACUUAAUCAACCCCUAAAAAAGCGGCACAGCACCUCGAAGUGACCCUACGCAUCAUUGGAUUUGACCCAUUUUCAAUAGGCACAUUACUUGUGGCAUAUAGGUCAACUAUGCAAAGUUUGAACCAAAUCGGUCCAAGAGUUUGACAGUUAUCGUGUUCACGGACAGACGGACACCAUCGACUCCCCUUAUAAAGCUUGAAUCGCUUUGCUCUGUCGCGUAAUAAUCUAAAAUUAAAGCAUAUUUACUUUUAAAAACAUAUAAUACACUAAGGGUGAUAUUCAAAAGGGGCUAAAAAAAGGUCAAAUGAUUUGAUAAA